UUCCGGUUGAUCCCGCCGGACCUGACUGCUAUCGGAUUGAUACUAAGCCAUGCGAGUCAUUGUAGUAAUACAAGGCAGACGGCUCAGUAACGCGUAGUCAACCUACCCUAUGGACGGGGAUAACCUCGGGAAACUGAGAAUAAUACCCGAUAGAACAUUAUGCCUGGAAUGGUUUAUGUUUCAAAUAAUUUAUUGCCGUAGGAUGGGACUGCGGCCUAUCAGUUUGUUGGUGAGGUAAUGGCCCACCAAGGCUAUUACAGGUACGGGCUCUGAGAGGAGAAGCCCGGAGAUGGGUACUGAGACACGGACCCAGGCCCUAUGGGGCGCAGCAGGCGAGAAACCUUUGCAAUGUGCGCAAGCACGACAAGGUUAAUCCGAGUGUUUCCUGCUAAAGGAACCUUUUGUCAGUCCUAGAAACACUGGUGAAUAAGGGGUGGGCAAGUUCUGGUGUCAGCCGCCGCGGUAAAACCAGCACCUCAAGUGGUCAGGAUGAUUAUUGGGCCUAAAGCAUCCGUAGCCUGCUUUGUUAGUUUUCGGUUAAAUCCAUACGCUUAACGUAUGGGCUGCCGGGAAUACUGCAAAGCUAGGGAGUGGGAGAGGUAGACGGUACUCGGUAGGAAGGGGUAAAAUCCUUUGAUCUAUUGAUGACCACCUGUGGCGAAGGCGGUCUACCAGAACACGUCCGACGGUGAGGGAUGAAAGCUGGGGGAGCAAACCGGAUUAGAUACCCGGGUAGUCCCAGCUGUAAACUAUGCAAACUCGGUGAUGCAUUGGCUUGAUGCCAAUGCAGUGCCGCAGGGAAGCCGUUAAGUUUGCCGCCUGGGAAGUACGUACGCAAGUAUGAAACUUAAAGGAAUUGGCGGGGGAGCACCACAAGGGUGAAGCCUGCGGUUCAAUUGGAUUCAACGCCGGA
rnacentral:rRNA from 1 species